GAUAAGGUGCCUGAAUAAAGGGUUACCAUGAUAGGGUAAAUUAUGUGAAUAAUCACCCUUAUUA
rnacentral:tRNA from 1 species